GUGCAUAUGCCUGUACACACACAGCCAACCCAAGUGCCAAGAAAAUGACAACCAGCAGGGGAGGGGAGCCAUGAGGGGCUGUCUUCUGCCAAGAGCUUCGACUGCCAGCAGCGAGGCAGCAGGCACUGGCCGGGACGAGGCGUUGAGAUGAAGCAAGCGUCGGCUGUGCUUCAGGAGUUAAACUCGCUGAAGGAAAGUUCCCUGAGAGCUGCUUCUGUAACACCCAUGAGAUGUGAAGAACAACCAGAGACCUCCUACAGGGAACAAUCUGCCACCAGAAGAGCUGUGCAUUUCACUCAUUUUUUUGGCUCACAUGCCAACUCACACCCUCAUUCUAAGACAAAAAGAAACUUUAAAAAACUUGUGCAAACUUUGUUUCUUGGUGAAGCAAAAUCUCAGAUUCAAAAGAUUUUGAUUGAGGUCCUUGCAGACCAAAAAAAGAAAUUUUAGAUUCACAAAAGCUGCUAUGGGAAGAUAUAUUACCCAGUAGCCUCCAGCCUGCGUCAAGCUUUAGGAGAACUAGUUCAGUUUCUAUCUCUGCAGAAAUCUGAGAAUAAUAGGACAGUAUUUUCACUAGCAGCCUGCAAGCUGAUUGUGCAUGUGCAAGGCUUGAAUCAUUGCUCCUUGGUCUCUCCUGAUGAGACAGCCACUCUGUGCAGCAUUUUACAUUCACUGCCACAUGCUCUAGAAGCCAGACAGCCGCUUCCCAGAAACAUGAAUCAUUUUCACAUUUGUUUUCUUCUUCAGCUCCGGUUAAAAAUACUUUAUUCCAAGUAGAAUGGCUUUAAGUGGAACACCUAAGGAGAUUCAGCAGCUGGAUAGGGAUUUGCAGGACAUUAAUCUGCAAGGUUGAUCUGCCUCUAAAGGAUGCACCAGAACUUUGAGUGGGCAGCCAGUGCUCCCCAGCAUAGUGUCCAAGCCACUAGGCAACCCUGUGCCCCUGGUAGCACCUUGCAAGCACCUCCAGCUGGUGAGAAUAAGAGUAAGAAUAAUGCCCAGGGGACUGGAGCACUCACCUGGGAAGUGCAGCCACACUGCAGAGCAUGCAGGGCUGAAGCUUGACGUCUUGUGCUGUCCAAGGUUUCAGUCACCAUAAUAACUUGGGAACGUGGUGCAUCUGAACAGAACAGUCCACGCUUGUGGACAGAUGUGUCUGAGGCGGAGUUGGGCUGCCACUACACCGUUUCCAUUCCUGCUCUUUCUUCCCAAGGCUUACAGUACAGGAUCAUAGCAGCAUUAAGCAAAGCUGGCUACUUUUGUUUGAGGAGUCUUCAGAUGAACUCUGGGAAUCCAAACAAGAAUCUUGUUCAGGUUUAUUGAGGAAAGUGAGAAAUUGCCAGGAACACUGAUGAUGGGAAGCACCACACUCUUCAUUUCUUCUGCUCUUUAGCUGUGUAGAAUAAGUGUGGUAAGAGUAAAGUAAAAGUUUGCAGUACCAAGCUGUGUAUUUUUUCUGCUCUCUGGGCUGUAGAAUGAUUUAGCUUUAACUACUCAAUUUUUUUUCAAGUUCUUUUUUUGACAUUCUUUUCAUUUUGCUGCUCUUUGUUUAAAAGCACUGAAUUUUUCCAAGAUCCUCUGGAAAUUUCCAAGAUGUUGUGUUUUGCUUCGGGCUUCAGUGGUGCCACUUGUGACAAUGUUUAGAUUUUUAUUUCAAUUGCAUGUCUGAGUCACAGAGCCGCAUUUCUUCCUUCUUUUCUUUCCCUUUAGAAAAAUGUUUCAAAUCUCUCCCUGUAAAAGUGCUUUGGCAAUAAUAAUAACUGGAAUCUUAACAAUUAAUGGAGCUGUUUCAGUGUCUCUGCUAGGAAACUUAUAUUCACUUGUUUUGAUUAUGAUUUGGAAAUAAGCAGGUAUGAAUGUGCAAUGCUGUUUUGCUUGUGAUUUUGUCUUUUGACGUAUUUUAAAAUCGUAAUAUCCCUGGUGCUGGCUAUCUAAGAACAGUUAAAUUUCAUCCCUUCAGGUGGUUCUGAUGAUACCAAAUGUCACUCAGCUGCUUAAUAAAGUCAGUGAAAUGUGGAAUAAACCAGUCAGUAGCCUGGGGAACUACCUCGUUCUGUGUGGCUUCGUGUUCCUUGGCAAUUUUAUAUGCCUGCAUACAUUAUCCUUGUAAGUGUGAUCUGAUGUGUAGGUGGUCUCUAUUUCUGACACAUUACAUUUAUCUGUAUCUCUGGAGAAGCUUAAAAAGUCAAGCCUUUUUUGCAGUCAGAAUAUUACCAUGAAUAUGAUGUAUUCUGGGGACUGCAUUCUGCAUCUCAAGCAUUCAGCUAAUCAGAGCUGCAGCUCCAGCUGGCCUUAUUUUGCCAGUGAAAUAAAGUGGAGCUAUAUAGGGAGAACACGUGAAGGCGUGCAGUAAAUUUUUAUGAGCCUGAGAAUGGAAUGACCACAUUUCUCAAGACUCACCAGCAGAGAGCUAUGAAAGGCUUAACCAAAUAAGUGGCAAUUAAAACUUUAUAAUGUUUCACAUUGUCAUGUGUUUGUGCCCUAUGUGUAAUUUUUAUCUCUUGUUUACACCUGCACUGGUGAAAUGGAGGAUAUGUUGCUGUAUGGUCACCCAAAAGGCAUGGCUUCAUUUAGUUUGUUCAUGGGUCUUCCUUGAAUCUACUUGGAGGUUUUAUAUGUUAUUUUGAAACACAGGGAGGUGUGCAGCCAGGAGAGAACUGUGUGGUGGUAUUGCCUUCUUGCUCUGUGCUGCACAGUGAGCUGCUCUGUGCCAAGUACUGACAGUGCUGUAGUCUAUAGCUCCUCACAGGAACUCUUAUCCUCCAGGAAGUGUGCUUUGUAGAUGCCAUGGAAACUGAAAUGUAUCGGUGGUGCUUAUCACUGUACAACAAGAGAUGAAAUACAGAUGUUUGUAAUGGCCAAAGGGUGUAUUUGUUGGACAUCUCCUUGAACCAAAACUAGGUUGAAACAUAUUUUUGAGCUUUGUGCCUGAUUCUAACCUUCCAGGUUGUUGUUUUUUUUUUUUUUUUUUUUUUUUUUUUUUUUUUUUUUUUUUUUUUUUUUUGUUUUUUUUUUGUUUUUUUUUCCCUUUUCUUUUCUUUUUCUACUCCUGAUACAGAUGGCCUCUCUGGUUCUCCUGGUAUCCUGGAAAGGGCCAUGGAAGGUCAGGACAGGCAGAGAGGAAGAGGGAGGGUGCCAGCUCAGUACAUCAGGGAGGAAGAGGGUAGAAAAAUCACCCCAGUAAGGUCAUGAGAGCAGAAAGCAGGGCAAGACAGAGUUAAAUAACUGGGGCUGCAGAAUAAGAUUUUAAAAAUACAGUAAACAGUCUUGAGAGCUGAAUUCUGAAUCCCAAGCUGAAAAAACCCUGAGUUACUCAGCCUCAUUCACAUAAUGGGAAAAUCUUCCACUUUGAAAUGCCAUGCCUCUGCUAUUAAUACCAGGCAUCUCCCUCCCUGUUUCUGGCCUUAACAAGUUCGCCGUGUAACCCUGGAAUCCUGCAAGAUGUUACUUUAGAGAUAAGCCUGUCCCCAGGGAAUCAUAGAAAACAGAGCUGGAAAACACAUCAACAGAUAAUCUACCCCCUGUUGUUGCCCCAGGCAAUGGAAGGUAAAUUACAUAUAAGGGCUGGGGCGUGGGGAGAUGGAUGCAUGGGCAGGGUUUAUUUGCUGGAAAGCUGUUAAGUAACAUGCUGGGAGAACGGUGAGGUAAUGGGAGUGGCGUUGCAUCCAGGUGGCAUUGGAAACUGCCAGGUAGAAAUGAGGUACUUUGUACUGACAGUGGAGAGGCAACAAUACGGGUUAAUGACUGUGCUCUAAGUGUUUCAUCCACAUGAUUUAGGGCUAUGUAGGCAUCCUCAGCUGACUGGGACAUUCUUCAUUGUACAUCUGUAUCCGUGGUGGGAUAGGGGUGAGGAUUAGGAGGGCUGCAGCAGGACUGUAGCUGCACAUGCUGUGCUCUUAGUGCAAUCCCAGCGUUGAGCAACACUGCCCUUCCCACGGACAGCACUGAUGCAUCCAACUUGGUUGCUUCGUCAAUAAUUUGCAGUAAUCAGCUCAGUAGUUAAGCAAGGUAAGAAUCAAACUGGCCUCUUCGAGAAUCCUGGUUAUCUCAGACAUCAAAAGUGGUCUGAUUCUGCAGCACUAAAAAUGUAUUUUCAGACAUAGGGUGGCAAGUUCCUGCCCUGUGAAUUGCAAAUUUCAAAGUGCUGGUUUUUUCUCCUUCUAGAGUGAUGGGGAAAUAAGGAGAACUAAUGGGAAACCCGAGACUUAACUGAGUAAGGUGCAGAGUUAGGGUGUAUAAAAGUGCUGAAAAUCAGUGUGGACUAGUCGAGAGGGAAAGUCACCAAGGACACUGAAGAGCUCCCACUCCAUUGGAAUGGACAAGUCACAAGCAAACCCCUCCAAGAAGAACUUCAGCAUUUAUCCUGAUAAAAUCUUGCCAGGUGAUUAAAUAAAUAAAUAAAUAAAUAAACAAACGAAUAAUUCUGCAGAGCACAAGGAAAAGAGAUUGCAAGACAACAGCGUCAUUUGGCAUCGGACAGUGCUGGGGCUGGCGAAACUCGG